rnacentral:lncRNA from 1 species
UUGUCUUUCAAUGUUAUACAACAUUCAUUAUCAUCAAAGUCUAAUGAAUGAAACCCUAAAAGGUUCUAUUUAUAGAUAUUACAAAAAUAGUGUGAAAUGUCCAUAAUACCCCUCAAGGGUGAGGUGCCCAUCAAGUGCAAGAAGUGGGCUGAUUUUGGUGUGUUUAGGCCCUCCUUUACACUUCACUUAUGCACUUCCUUGGAAGGAUUUAUUACGCACUCAUUCACAUCCAUCCUCAUGGUCGUACUUGUAUCGUCCUCCCCUUCUUGAAAAGGAUUCGACCUCGAAUCCGUACCUCACAAAAUUAAGAGAAGACAACAAGCACACAUCCUCAAAAUAUGAGGGGUUAGGGUUAGCAAAAUACACCACAUCACAUU